GACGAACCGUGCAAACGUUGUUCGGAAUCACUGGGCUUAAAGGGCGCGUAGGCGGCCACCGCAAGUCGACUGUGAAAUCUCCGGGCUUAACCCGGAAAGGUCAGCCGAUACUGCGGGGCUAGAGUGCAGAAGGGGCAACUGGAAUUCUCGGUGUAGCGGUGAAAUGCGUAGAUAUCGGGAAGAACACCCGUGGCGAAGGCGGCUCUCUGGGACGGUACUGACGCUGAGACGCGAAAGCGUGGGGAGCGAACAGG
rnacentral:rRNA from 1 species